rnacentral:rRNA from 1 species
UACAGAGGGUGCGAGCGUUAAUCGGAAUUACUGGGCGUAAAGCGCGCGUAGGCGGCUUUGCAAGUCGGGUGUGAAAUCCCCAGGCUUAACCUGGGAACUGCAUUCGAGACUGCAUUGCUAGAGUAUGGGAGAGGGAAGUGGAAUUUCCGGUGUAGCGGUGAAAUGCGUAGAUAUCAGGAGGAAUACCGAUGGCGAAGGCAGGUCUCUGGGCUGACACUGACGCUCAUACACGAAAGCGUGGGGAGCAAACAGG